rnacentral:lncRNA from 9 species
CUACACCACAGCUCACGGCAAUGCCAGAUCCUUAAUACCCUGAGUGAAGCCAGGGAUCGGACCUGUGAGCUUAUGGAUGCUAACCAGGUUCAUUAACCACUGAGCCACAAUGGGAACUCCCUGGUUCUUUUGGAUAUAACGUCCUGGAAAUAUCAAUUAAUUCUAACUGUUCUAUUGUGUCAUUUAGAAUCUCUGAUGCUUUAUUGAUUUAUUGUCUAGAACAUCUGUCCAUUGCUGUGAAUGGUGUGUAAGUCUCCUACUCUUUUUUUCUUUCUUUUUUUUUUUUUUUUUUUGCUUUUUUUAGUGCUGCACCUGCAGAAUAUGGAAAUUCCCAGGCUAGGGGUUGAACCAGAGCUGCAGCUGAUGGCCUAUGCCAAAGCCACAGCAGUGCAGGAUCCUUAACCCACUGAGCAAGGCCAGGAAUUGAACCUACACCCUCAUGGAUACUAGUUGGGUUCUUUACCACUGAGCCACGAUGGGAACUCCAAAGUCUUCUACUCUUAUUGUUCCCAGGCUAGGGGUCGAAUUGGAGCUGUAGCCACCGGCCUACGCCAGAGCCGCGUCUGCGACCUCACUUUCUUUUUUAGGUUUUUAUUUUUUCUGUUCUACUUCAUUUACAUUGUUCUGUCAACUUCUGCUGCACAGCAAAGCGACCCAGUCAUACAUAUACAUAUACAUACACAUUCUUUUUCUCACAUUAUCCUCCAUCAAGUUCCAUCUCAAGUGACUAGAUAUAGUUCCCUGUGCUAUACAGCAGAAUCUCAUUGCUUAUCCACUCCAAAGGCAGGUUUGCAUCUAUUAACCCCAAACUCCCCGUCCAUCCCACUCCCUCCCCCUCAUCCUUGGCAAUCAUGAGUCUGUUCUCCAAACCAUGACUUUUUUUAUUUUCUGAAGAAAGGUUCAUUUGUGCUGUAUAUUAGAUUCCAGAUAUAACUGAUACCAUAUCGUAUUUGUCUUUCUCUUUCUGGCUUACUUCACUUAGUAUGAGAGUCUCUGUAUAUCAUCUUUGGUGAAAUGUCUAUUCAGGUCUUCUGCCCAUUUUUUUGUUGUUGUUGUUUUUUGGUUUCCUCGUUCUUUUUUUUUUUUUUUUUUUUUUCUGUUGUACAGCAUGGGGACCAAGUUAUACAUACAUGUAUGCAUUCUCUUUCCUCCCAUUUUUCUGUUGCGAUGUAAAUAUCUAGACAUAGUUCUCAGUGCUACACAGCAGGAUCUCAUUGUAUAUCCAUUCCAAGAGCAAUAGUUUGCAUCUGAUAACCCCAAGCUCCCGAUCCCUCCUACUCCCUCCCUCUCCCCCCGGGCAGCCACAAGUCUAUUCUCCAAGUCCAUGAUUUUUUUCUGCCCAUUUUUCAAUUGGAUUGCUUCUUUUUCUGCUCUUGAGUUGUAUAAGUUGUUUGUAUAUUUUAGAGAUUAAUCCCUUGUCAGUUGUAUCAUUUGAAAUUAUUUUCUAUCAUUCUGUUCAUUUUUUAAAAAUGAUUUCCUUUGCUGUGCAAAAAGCUUGUAAGUUUGAUUAGGUCCCAUUGGUAUAUUUUUGUUUUUAUUUCUUUUUAAAAUUUUUUUUAUUUAUGUUUUUUGGUCUUUUUAGGGUUGCACCUGCAGCAUAUGGAGUUUCCCAGCUAGGAGUUGAAUUGGAUCUGUAGUUGCCAGCCUACACCACAGCUGCAGCAAAGUGUGAUCCGUGCCGCAUCUUCAACCUACACCAUAGCUUACUGAACACCAGAUCCUUAACUGAGUGAGGCCAGGGAUUGAACCUGCAUCCUCGUGGGUACUACUCACAUUUGUUUCCAGUGAGCCAUGAUGGGAAUUCCUAUUUUUGUUUUUAUUUCUAUUGAUUUGGGAGAAGAUAUUUAUAUGGUUGAUGUCAGAGAAUGUCUUGCCUAGGUUCUCUUCUAGGAGUUUUAUUGUGUCUUGACUUAUGUUGAAGUCUUUGAGCUAUUUUUGAGUUUAUUUUUGUUCAUGGUGUGAGGGUGUGUUCUAGUUUCAUUGAUUUACAUGCAGCUGUCUAGUUUGCCAAGCAGCACUUGCUGAAGAGACUGUGUUUUGCACAUUAUAUAUUCUUGCCUCCUUUGUUGAAGAUUAAUUGACUGUAGUUGUCUGGGUUUCUUUCUGGGAUCUCUGUUUUGUUCCAUUGAUAUGUAGGUCAGUUUUGGUACCCGUUUCACACAUUAUUCAUUUCGGUAGCUUUGUAUUAUUGUCUGAAGUCUAGAAGAGUUAUACAUCCAGCUUGGUUCUUGUUCCUCAGGAUUGCUUUGGCAAUUCUGGGUUUUUGAUGCUUCCAUAUAAAUUUUUGGACUCUGUUGUAGUUCUGUGAAAAAUGUCCUGUAACUUGAUAGGGAUUGCAUACAACACAAUGGUAUAACAGAGGCCUAGGUGGGAAAAAGGCAAGGGUUGCAUUCCGAAGCAAACCACCAUUGGGGCUGGUGUUCGUUCACUGAGUACAAUAUACUUUUCAAGUAGGAAGCUUCCAGCAUCUUGUAGUGUGGAGUUGGUGAGAUUGCCAUCAGGUGAUUAUUGCCCAAGCUUGCUAUGUUCUGAUUCUCCGCCCUUCUGAAAAGAAGGCGUUUUCAUGCCAAAUCAGACUUCUCCACAAAGGAGAAUACAUUUGAGUUGGUUUUAAGCCUCUGAAGACGCUUACAAACAAGCAGUGCACACAGAGAGUUUGCCUGUGCUGGGUCUCAUUUGACCUUGGUAUAACACAGGCCAAGGCGGGAAAAAGGCAAGGGUUGCUAUCCAAAGCAAACCACCAUUGGGGCUGAUGUUUGUUCACCAAGUACAAUAUACUUGGCAAGUAGGAAGCUUCCAGCACCUUGUUUUCUGGCCUUUGUGAGAUUGUUAUGAGGUUGUUAUCACCCUACCUCCCUACGUGCUGUUUUUCUCCACUUCUGAAAAGAAGGCUUUUUCACAGCAAAUCGAGUGUCUCUAAAAAGGAGAACAGCUUUUGAGUGGGAUUCAAGCUAGGGAAUCCUCCUGUAAUCAAUCAGUGCACCCAGAGCAUUUGGCAGGGCAGUGGGACCUUUGCCCUAGGUAUAUCAUAGCCCUAGGUUGGAAAGAAGGCAAAGGUUGCUUUCCGGAGCAAAUCACCAUUGGGGCUGGUGUUUGUUCACUGAAUACAACAUACUUUGUGUAGUAGGCAUCUUCCAGCCUCUUGUUUUUUGAAGUUUGUGAGAUUGACAUCAGGGAAUUAUUGCCCAAGCUUGAUGAGUGCUGCUUUUCCCGCUUGUGAAAAGACAUUUUCGUAGCAAAUCAGGUUUCUCCACAAAGGAGAAAGAACACUUUUUGAGUGAGUUGCAAGCUACUGAAACCUGUGAACAACUAAUACACACAGAACAUUUGGCAGCGGAAUGGAUCAUUCACUCUAUGUGUAACACAGGCAUUUGUGGAAAAACUCAAGUGUUGCUUUCUGGAGCAAACAAACCUAGGGGCUGGUGUUUGUUCACUGAGUACAGUAUACACUGCAAGUAGGAAGCUUCCAGACACUUCUUUUGUGGAGUUUGUGUGAUUGAUAUCUGCUCGAUAUGUUCUGUUUUUCACUGCUUGUGAAAAAAAGGCAUUUUCAUAACCAAUCAGGCUUCUCCACAAAGAGAACACAUUUCAAGUGAGUUUCAAGCUACUGAAACCUCCUGUAAACAACCGGUACACACAGAGCAUUUGGCAAUGGAGUGGCUCAUUCGCACUAAAUAUAGCAAAGGCCUAUACGGGAAAUAGGGAAGGGUUGCUUUCGGCAGCUAACCACCAUUGGUUCUGGUGUUUGGUCACUGAGUACCAAAUACUUUGGAAUUAGGAAGCUUCCAACCUCUUGUUUUGCAGAGUUUCUGAGAUUGCCACAGGAGAUAUUCACCCUAACUCAAUAUGUGCUGCUUUUCACUGCUUGUGGAAAGAGAGCAUUUUCAGAGCAAUUCAGGCUUCUCCAAGAAUGAGAAAACUUUUUGAGUGUGUUUCAAGCUACUGAAACAUCCUGUAAACAACCAGUGCACACAGAGGAUUUGGCAGUGGAGUGGCUCAUUUGCCACUCCACUCAUUUGGUGGCAAAAAGGCAAGGGUUGCUUUCUGGAGCAAUCCACCAUUGGAGCUGGUGUUCCUUCACUGAGUAUAACACGCUUUGUGAGUAGGAAGCUUCCAGCCUCUUGUUUUGUGGAGUUUCUGUGAUUGAAUUCAGGCAGUUAUCACCCUAGCCUGCUAUAUGUGGCUUUUUCCCACUUGUGAAAAGAAGGUAUUUUCAUAACAUAUCAGGCUUCUCCACAAAGGAGAACACAUAUAAGAUGGGUUUCAAGCUACUGAAACCUCCUGUAAAUAACCAGUACAUAAAGAGCCUUUGGCAGUGGAGCAGCUCCUUUGCCAUAGUUAUAAGGUAGGCUCAGGUGGGAAAAAGAAAAGUGUUGUUUCCAGAGCAAACCCCCAUUGUGACUGGUGUUUGUUCACUGAAUACAAUAUACUACUGGGAAGCUUCCAGCCUCUUGUUUUUGCAGUUUGGGAGAUUGCCCUCAGGCAGUUAUCACCCAAGCUCGCUAUGUGCUGCUUUUCCCCACUUGUGAAAUGAAGGCAUUUUCGUAGCAAUUCAUGUUUCUGCACAAAAGAGAACACAGUCAAGUGGAUUUCAAUAUACAGAAAUUUCCUGUAACGAACAGUGCACACAGGGAAUUUGGCAGUGUAGUGGCUCAUUUGCCUUAGGUAUACAAAAGACCUAGUUGUGAAGAAGGCAAGGGUUGCUUUCUGGAGCUAAGCACUGUUGGGGCUGAUGUUCAUUCACUAAGCAUAAUAUACUUUGCAAGUAGGAAGCUACCAGCCUAUGUUUUGUGGAGUCUGUGAGAUUACCAUCAGGUGGUUAUUAAAAGCCUAGCUCCCUAGGUGCUGCUUUUCCCUGCUUGUGAAAAAAAAAAAAAAAAAAAA